rnacentral:misc_RNA from 1 species
AACUAAAACCCACCAAAGGCGAGAUUGUUAAAUGCGUUCGACCCACUUUUAUAUUAUAAGAAAAAUUCAAUUUAUUGUGAGAGAAAUAGUACUAUUUUAUAUUUAUUGAGAGUGUUUUAUUGGAAUUUUCUUAUCUAAACCCAGUCCAUUAUAUACACAAUGCACAAGACAUAUGAUGGGACUCACUCAUUAAAUAGGUGAGUCUCGUGUGUUUGUUUUG